UACGGAGGAUCCGAGCGUUAUCCGGAAUAACUGGGCGUAAAGAGUUGCGUAGGUGGUUCUGUAAGUUAGUUCUUAAAGACUGAGGCUUAACCUCAGGAAUGGAACUGAUACUGCAGAACUUGAGUAUGGAAGAGGUGGCUGGAAUUCCCGGUGUAGGAGUGAAAUCCGUAGAUAUCGGGAGGAACACCAAUGGCGUAGGCAGGCCACUGGUCCAUUACUGACACUAAGGCACGAAAGCGUGGGGAGCGAACGGG
rnacentral:rRNA from 1 species